rnacentral:rRNA from 1 species
UAACAAGGUUUCCGUAGGUGAACCUGCGGAAGGAUCAUUACACUCAGUAGUUUACUACUGUUGAAGAGGCUGUUAGUCUGUAUAGCUUUACCGCUGAUGAGCAGCUGGCCUCUUUUCUCCACCCUUGUCUUUUGCGCACCCAUGUUUCCUCGGCAGGCUUGCCUGCCGGCUGGACAAUACAAUAACCUUUUUCAUUUUCAAUCAGCGUCUGAAAAAAACUUAAUAAUUACAACUUUCAACAACGGAUCUCUUGGUUCUGGCAUCGAUGAAGAACGCAGCGAAAUGCGAUAAGUAGUGUGAAUUGCAGAAUUCAGUGAAUCAUCGAAUCUUUGAACGCACAUUGCGCCCCUUGGUAUUCCAUGGGGCAUGCCUGUUCGAGCGUCAUUUGUACCUUCAAGCUUUGCUUGGUGUUGGGUGUUUGUCCUCCCCGUUUGUGUUUGGACUCGCCUUUAAACAAUUGGCAGCCAGUGUUUUGGUAUAGAAGCGCAGCACAAGUCGCGAUUCUAGCCAAUCAACGCUGACAACCAGAAGUCUUUUUUCAACUUUUGACCUCGGAUCAGGUAGGGAUACCCGCUGAACUUAAGCAUAU